rnacentral:rRNA from 1 species
UCAGACGAUGCGUCAUGCAUAUCAAUAAGCGGAGGAAAAGAAACUAACAAGGAUUCCCCUAGUAACGGCGAGUGAAGCGGGAAGAGCUCAAAUUUGAAAUCUUAAAGGGUUUCCCUUUACGAAUUGUAGUUUAAAGAAGUGUUUUCUGUUGAGGUUUUGGUAAAAGUUCUUUGGAAUAGGACAUCAUAGAGGGUGAGAAUCCCGUAUUUGACCUUUACUUUCAACUUUGUGAUACACUUUCAAAGAGUCGGAUUGUUUGGGAAUGCAGUCCAAAAUGGGUGGUAAAUUUCAUCUAAAGCUAAAUAUUGGCGAGAGACCGAUAGCGAACAAGUACCGUGAGGGAAAGAUGAAAAGAACUUUGAAAAGAGAGUUAAACAGUACGUGAAAUUGUCAAAAGGGAAGCGUUUGACACCAGUGUUGUUUUUCUGAAAAUCAAUUAAAGAACUGUUUAUGCUAAGCUGUUUAGACUUUAUCAGCUAUCCUGUUUAGUUUUGAGCUUUUCUUUAAUGCACUUUUCAGUUAACAAGUCAACAUCAAUUUCUUUUGCUGUAAAAAAGCUUGAGGAAGGUGGCUUGAGAUUCGUCUUAAGUGUUUAUAGCCUCUUGCCUAUGCAGUCGGAGAGAUUGAGGUCUGCAGCGUAGAUCCUUCGGGGCUAAAUGCAUUUGUGCUAAGUUAUAGCAUUUUAUAGACAACUUGUUGACUAUGAUUUGUCUUGUAGCUUACUCGCUUAUGUUAUUUUACCUACGCUUAGGAUGUUGACACACGCGCGUGCUC